UUAAGCGACUAAGCGUACACGGUGGAUGCCCUGGCAGUCAGAGGCGAUGAAGGACGUGCUAAUCUGCGAUAAGCGUCGGUGAGGUGAUAUGAACCGUUAUAACCGGCGAUUUCCGAAUGGGGAAACCCAGUGUGUUUCGACACACUAUCAUUAACUGAAUCCAUAGGUUAAUGAGGCGAACCGGGGGAACUGAAACAUCUAAGUACCCCGAGGAAAAGAAAUCAACCGAGAUUCCCCCAGUAGCGGCGAGCGAACGGGGAGGAGCCCAGAGCCUGAAUCAGUGUGUGUGUUAGUGGAAGCGUCUGGAAAGGCGUGCGAUACAGGGUGACAGCCCCGUACACAAAAAUGCACAUAUUGUGAGCUCGAUGAGUAGGGCGGGACACGUGGUAUCCUGUCUGAAUAUGGGGGGACCAUCCUCCAAGGCUAAAUACUCCUGACUGACCGAUAGUGAACCAGUACCGUGAGGGAAAGGCGAAAAGAACCCCGGCGAGGGGAGUGAAAAAGAACCUGAAACCGUGUACGUACAAGCAGUGGGAGCCUCUUAAUGGGGUGACUGCGUACCUUUUGUAUAAUGGGUCAGCGACUUAUAUUCUGUAGCAAGGUUAACCGAAUAGGGGAGCCGAAGGGAAACCGAGUCUUAACUGGGCGUUAAGUUGCAGGGUAUAGACCCGAAACCCGGUGAUCUAGCCAUGGGCAGGUUGAAGGUUGGGUAACACUAACUGGAGGACCGAACCGACUAAUGUUGAAAAAUUAGCGGAUGACUUGUGGCUGGGGGUGAAAGGCCAAUCAAACCGGGAGAUAGCUGGUUCUCCCCGAAAGCUAUUUAGGUAGCGCCUCGUGAAUUCAUCUCCGGGGGUAGAGCACUGUUUCGGCAAGGGGGUCAUCCCGACUUACCAACCCGAUGCAAACUGCGAAUACCGGAGAAUGUUAUCACGGGAGACACACGGCGGGUGCUAACGUCCGUCGUGAAGAGGGAAACAACCCAGACCGCCAGCUAAGGUCCCAAAGUCAUGGUUAAGUGGGAAACGAUGUGGGAAGGCCCAGACAGCCAGGAUGUUGGCUUAGAAGCAGCCAUCAUUUAAAGAAAGCGUAAUAGCUCACUGGUCGAGUCGGCCUGCGCGGAAGAUGUAACGGGGCUAAACCAUGCACCGAAGCUGCGGCAGCGACACUAUGUGUUGUUGGGUAGGGGAGCGUUCUGUAAGCCUGUGAAGGUGGCCUGUGAGGGUUGCUGGAGGUAUCAGAAGUGCGAAUGCUGACAUAAGUAACGAUAAAGCGGGUGAAAAGCCCGCUCGCCGGAAGACCAAGGGUUCCUGUCCAACGUUAAUCGGGGCAGGGUGAGUCGACCCCUAAGGCGAGGCCGAAAGGCGUAGUCGAUGGGAAACAGGUUAAUAUUCCUGUACUUGGUGUUACUGCGAAGGGGGGACGGAGAAGGCUAUGUUGGCCGGGCGACGGUUGUCCCGGUUUAAGCGUGUAGGCUGGUUUUCCAGGCAAAUCCGGAAAACCAAGGCUGAGGCGUGAUGACGAGGCACUACGGUGCUGAAGCGACAAAUGCCCUGCUUCCAGGAAAAGCCUCUAAGCAUCAGGUAACAUCAAAUCGUACCCCAAACCGACACAGGUGGUCAGGUAGAGAAUACCAAGGCGCUUGAGAGAACUCGGGUGAAGGAACUAGGCAAAAUGGUGCCGUAACUUCGGGAGAAGGCACGCUGAUAUGUAGGUGAAGCGACUUGCUCGUGGAGCUGAAAUCAGUCGAAGAUACCAGCUGGCUGCAACUGUUUAUUAAAAACACAGCACUGUGCAAACACGAAAGUGGACGUAUACGGUGUGACGCCUGCCCGGUGCCGGAAGGUUAAUUGAUGGGGUUAGCGGCAACGCGAAGCUCUUGAUCGAAGCCCCGGUAAACGGCGGCCGUAACUAUAACGGUCCUAAGGUAGCGAAAUUCCUUGUCGGGUAAGUUCCGACCUGCACGAAUGGCGUAAUGAUGGCCAGGCUGUCUCCACCCGAGACUCAGUGAAAUUGAACUCGCUGUGAAGAUGCAGUGUACCCGCGGCAAGACGGAAAGACCCCGUGAACCUUUACUAUAGCUUGACACUGAACAUUGAGCCUUGAUGUGUAGGAUAGGUGGGAGGCUUUGAAGUGUGGACGCCAGUCUGCAUGGAGCCGACCUUGAAAUACCACCCUUUAAUGUUUGAUGUUCUAACGUUGGCCCGUAAUCCGGGUUGCGGACAGUGUCUGGUGGGUAGUCGGACAGUGUCUGGUGGGUAGUUUGACUGGGGCGGUCUCCUCUCCUCCUAAAGAGUAACGGAGGAGCACGAAGGUUGGCUAAUAGUAACGGAGGAGCACGAAGGUUGGCUAAUCCUGGUCGGACAUCAGGAGGUUAGUGCAAUGGCAUAAGCCAGCUUGACUGCGAGCGUGACGGCGCGAGCAGGUGCGAAAGCAGGUCAUAGUGAUCCGGUGGUUCUGAAUGGAAGGGCCAUCGCUCAACGGAUAAAAGGUACUCCGGGGAUAACAGGCUGAUACCGCCCAAGAGUUCAUAUCGACGGCGGUGUUUGGCACCUCGAUGUCGGCUCAUCACAUCCUGGGGCUGAAGUAGGUCCCAAGGGUAUGGCUGUUCGCCAUUUAAAGUGGUACGCGAGCUGGGUUUAGAACGUCGUGAGACAGUUCGGUCCCUAUCUGCCGUGGGCGCUGGAGAACUGAGGGGGGCUGCUCCUAGUACGAGAGGACCGGAGUGGACGCAUCACUGGUGUUCGGGUUGUCAUGCCAAUGGCACUGCCCGGUAGCUAAAUGCGGAAGAGAUAAGUGCUGAAAGCAUCUAAGCACGAAACUUGCCCCGAGAUGAGUUCUCCCUGAAUCGGAGGGCCGUGUGUUCCUGAAGGAACGUUGAAGACGACGACGUUGAUAGGCCGGGUGUGUAAGCGCAGCGAUGCGUUGAGCUAACCGGUACUAAUGAACCGUGAGGCUUAACCUU
rnacentral:rRNA from 1 species